AGAGUUUGAUCAUGGCUCAGGACGAACGCUGGCGGCGUGCCUAAUGCAUGCAAGUCGAGCGGGCUACGAUCUUCGGAUUGUAGCUUAGCGGCGAACGGGUGAGUAACACGUAGGUAAUCUACCCUUCAGAGGAGGACAACCUCAGGAAACUGAGGCUAAACCUUCAUACGUUCACUGGUAGGGAUACUGGUGAAGAAAGAGUUACCUUAGUGGUAGCUGCUGAAGGAUGAGCCUGCGGCCCAUCAGGUAGUUGGUGAGGUAACGGCUCACCAAGCCGAAGACGGGUAACCGGUCUGAGAGGAUGUCCGGUCACACUGGGACUGAGACACGGCCCAGACUCCUACGGGAGGCAGCAGCAGGGAAUCUUGGGCAAUGGGCGAAAGCCUGACCCAGCGACGCCGCGUGGAGGAAGAAGUCCUUCGGGGCGUAAACUCCUGGACUGGGGGACGAGGAAGGACGGUACCCCAGUAGAAAGGGACGGCUAACUACGUGCCAGCAGCCGCGGUAAAACGUAGGUCCCGAGCGUUGUUCGGAUUCACUGGGUGUAAAGGGCGCGUAGGUGGUUGUCUGUGUCUCAUGUGAAAACUCAGGGCUCAACUCUGAGAUUGCGUGGGAAACUAGGCAGCUAGAGGACGGUAGAGGGGAGUGGAAUUCCCGGUGUAGCGGUAAAAUGCGUAGAUAUCGGGAGGAACACCGGUGGCGAAGGCGGCUCUCUGGGCCGAUCCUGACGCUGAGGCGCGAAAGCUAGGGGAGCGAACCGGAUUAGAUACCCGGGUAGUCCUAGCCGUAAACGAUGGGUGCUAGGUGUUGGGGGGUAAAGACCCUUCAGUGCCGAAGCCAACGCGAUAAGCAUCCCACCUGGGGAGUACGGCCGCAAGGUUGAAACUCAAUGAAUUGACGG
rnacentral:rRNA from 1 species